rnacentral:rRNA from 1 species
GACGAACGCUGGCGGCGUGCUUAACACAUGCAAGUCGAACGGAAAGGCCCUGCUUUUGUGGGGUGCUCGAGUGGCGAACGGGUGAUUAACACGUGAGUAACCUGCCCUUGACUUUGGGAUAACUUCAGGAAACUGGGGCUAAUAUCGGAUAGGAGCUCCUGCUGCAUGGUGGGGGUUGGAAAGUUUCGGCGGUUGGGGAUGGACUCGCGUCUUAUCAGCUUGUUGGUGGGGUAGUGGCUUACCAAGGCUUUGACGGGUAGCCGGCCUGAGAGGGUGACCGGCCACAUUGGGACUGAGAUACGGCACAGACUACUACGGGAGGCAGCAGUGGGGAAUAUUGCACAAUGGGAGGAAGCCUGAUGCAGCAACGCCGCGUGCGGGAUGACGGCCUUCGGGUUGUAAACCGCUUUCGCCUGUGACGAAGCGUGAGUGACGGUAAUGGGUAAAGAAGCACCGGCUAACUACGUG